rnacentral:sRNA from 1 species
CGUGCGCCUUCGCCGAAUCCCUCGGGCACAGCUCCACCUGAUCCACCAGCGGUAUCUGGGAACCGGGGAACCACCAACCCUGGGGUGAAUCGGGCCGCACUCCGGCCCGUAGGAGACCUUCCUGCUCCGAACCCGUCAGCUAACCCGGUAGGCGAGAAGGAAGGAAAGG